rnacentral:misc_RNA from 1 species
AAGUCGUAACAAGGUUUCCGUAGGUGAACCUGCGGAAGGAUCAUUUUCGAAAACAACUUCUUACAAACCAAUUUUGUGAAUUGUUUUGGGUUUUUUACUCUCGGAGGUAGGGCUUAGUUGCUGUAAUAGUGACAACGGUAUACCAGUGGGUCUAUUGUUGCCCUCCUAUUACGCGAUGUCUGACGCCCUAUUCUCUGGGAGGCCAUGAUGAACUACCUUCGGGUUGAUAGUAUCGUUCUUUUUGCUUUUGUUUUCACAAACAAAAAAUUCCAAUGAUACGACAACUUUUAACGGUGGAUCUCUUGGCUCGU